GAUGAACGCUGGCGGCGUGCCUAACACAUGCAAGUUGAACGAGAUGCGUAUCGGAAAGCUUCGGCCGGAAGAUGCGUUAUCUAGUGGCGGACGGGUGAGUAACACGUGGGUAACCUGCCUUAUGGAGGGGGAUAACAGAGAGAAAUCACUGCUAAUACCGCAUAAGCACACAGUACCGCAUGGUAGAGUGUGAAAAGAUUUAUCGCCAUAAGAUGGACCCGCGUCUGAUUAGCCAGUUGGCAGGGUAAAAGCCUACCAAAGCGACGAUCAGUAGCCGAUCUGAGAGGAUGACCGGCCACAUUGGGACUGAGACACGGCCCAAACUCCUACGGGAGGCAGCAGUGGGGAAUAUUGCACAAUGGGGGAAACCCUGAUGCAGCGACGCCGCGUGAGUGAAGAAGUAUUUCGGUAUGUAAAGCUCUAUCAGCAGGGAAGAUAAUGACAGUACCUGACUAAGAAGCCCCGGCUAACUACGUGCCAGCAGCCGCGGUAAUACGUAGGGGGCAAGCGUUAUCCGGAUUUACUGGGUGUAAAGGGAGCGUAGACGGAGUGGCAAGUCUGAAGUGAAAACCCUGGGCUCAACCUGGGGACUGCUUUGGAAACUGUUAAUCUAGAGUGUUGGAGAGGUAAGUGGAAUUCCUGGUGUAGCGGUGAAAUGCGUAGAUAUCAGGAAGAACACCGGAGGCGAAGGCGGCUUACUGGACAAUAACUGACGUUGAGGCUCGAAAGCGUGGGGAUCAAACAGG
rnacentral:rRNA from 1 species